UACAGAGGUCUCAAGCGUUGUUCGGAUUCAUUGGGCGUAAAGGGUGCGUAGGUGGCGUGGUAAGUCGGGUGUGAAAUUUCGGAGCUUAACUCCGAAACUGCAUUCGAUACUGCCGUGCUUGAGGACUGGAGAGGAGACUGGAAUUUACGGUGUAGCAGUGAAAUGCGUAGAGAUCGGGCGGAACACCAGCGGCGAAGGCGGCAUCCUGGCCCUAUCCUGACGCUGAGGCGCGAGAGCGUGGGGAGCAAACCGG
rnacentral:rRNA from 1 species